rnacentral:rRNA from 1 species
UACGGAGGGUGCGAGCGUUGUCCGGAAUCACUGGGCGUAAAGGGCGCGUAGGCGGCGCGACAAGUCAACUGUGAAAGCUCCGGGCUCAACUCGGAGAGGCCAGUUGAUACUGCCGUGGCUAGAGUCCGGUAGGGGGAGCGUGGAAUUCCUGGUGUAGCGGUGAAAAUGCGCAGAUAUCAGGAGGAACACCGGUGGCGAAGGCGGUUCUCUGGGGCAUGUUCUGACGCUGAGGAGCGAAAAGCGUGGGGGAG